rnacentral:rRNA from 1 species
AACGAACGCUGGCGGCAGGCCUAACGCAUGCAAGUCGAGCGAAGCCUUCGGGCUUAGCGGCGGACGGGUGAGUAACGCGUGGGAACGUGCCCUUUGGUACGGAAUAGCCCCGGGAAACUGGGAGUAAUACCGUAUGUGGUCGAGAGACGAAAGAUUUAUCGCCAAAGGAUCGGCCCGCGUUGGAUUAGGUAGUUGGUGGGGUAAUGGCCUACCAAGCCGACGAUUCAUAGCUGGUUUGAGAGGAUGAUCAGCCACACUGGGACUGAGACACGGCCCAGACUCCUACGGGAGGCAGCAGUGGGGAAUUUUAGACAAUGGGGGAAACCCUGAUCUAGCCAUGCCGCGUGAUCGAUGAAGGCCUUAGGGUUGUAAAGAUCUUUCAGUGGGGAAGAUAAUGACUGUACCCACAGAAGAAGCCCCGGCUAACUCCGUGCCAGCCGCCGCAGUAAGAC